GGAGACAGGAGGAGCAUUGAUCUGGCAUAUGAGUAACAGGCCAAAACGGAGGGUGGAGGGUAUAUUUUGUUGUGGACAAGACUUUCUGGAGAAUACAGGUUGUUCCAUGAUUAGUGACCUUCAAAGGCAGUACUUCAGCUCGUUUCUUCAGCCUAGUCUGCUGUUAGAGGAAGACCGUCUUCUCAAUGACCUGACCUCGUCAUGUGUAGGGGAUCACUCACCUCUUAACUGUGAUUGCUCCAAGGCUGCAGGAAAAUUACAUUUUUUGAGAACUUCAUCCCAAAGGCCUGAGCAAUGUUGAGGCACAGAUCUCAGCUAUAUCAUGUUCCCAACACUCUCUCUUUGGAAGCCCGAAGAAAGAAAUGUGCUUGCAGCAUGACGGACAGAAAAACUGGUUCAGGCAAGUCAGAAGCUGUGGAAGAAAUGGAAAGAGAGAAUUGGAGCCAGAAAGUCUCAAAGAGGACAUUUUUUGCUGAUUUUUUUUGGAUGACUGCAUCAGUUUUGAGCACCUCGGAAAAAGCAAUUUGUUUUUCACUCCUGGCAUAUCGUGUUUGUUCAAAUAGAGCCAUUAAAAGUGUGGGCAUAAUAGUUCGUGAGGCAGCUUGUGACCCAUACCACUUUCUCUUGCCUUCUUCACCCUAGUUAAACUUUAGAAGCUUCCCACAUUAUUCUCAAGUGCUUCUUGCAGGGCAACAGUUGGUUUUCAUUGAACUUGGAAUGGAAAACGUGGACAAGUUCUGCAAACUCUUUUGAGAACAGAGAAAUGGGAAAAUGAAGAACAAUAUUUCUCUCUGUAUCAAGAACAGCUGUCACACUAUGCCAAGCACACUAAUGAAAAAAUUAGUAAUAAACAGUUAGCAGUGUAUCUUCAAGAGAAGUGUAACCAACUUACGUGUAGAAAAUAAAGAACUACAAACUAAUGAAGAAAAAUAUAUAGUGUUACAUCCAAACCAGUCAAGCUGUGCAGGGAAAGAAAGGCUAUCCAUUUCUGUCCUGUAAGCCAUGGCACUUUCAUUUGUAAAUUUUCCCUGCUUUUCUCUAUUUUUUAAAAUUGUCUCAUCUAGGCAGCUGGGUCUCUUUUAAGUGAUAGAAACUACCUAAAUGUCAAGAACAUGCUUCAGAAUAAGGAGAUUUAUGCUUAUGACUGUCUCUUUUCCAUAUCUAGUAUGCUAUUUAUCUAGAGUUGUGAUCAUGGAAUCAUAGAAUGGCCUGGGUUGAA